GACAGAGGGUGCAAACGUUGUUCGGAAUUACUGGGCGUAAAGCGCGUGUAGGCGGCCAUCUAAGUCGGGCGUGAAAUCCCACGGCUCAACCGUGGAAGUGCACUCGAAACUGGCAGGCUAGAGUACUAAAGAGGAUCGCGGAAUUCCCGGUGUAGAGGUGAAAUUCGUAGAUAUCGGGAGGAACACCGGUGGCGAAGGCGGCGAUCUGGGUAGAUACUGACGCUGAGGUGCGAAAGCGUGGGGAGCAAACAGG
rnacentral:rRNA from 1 species